rnacentral:lncRNA from 1 species
UGGCAUUACUCCUUAAAAAUUUACAUACAGUGUCUACAACAUGUAUUAUAAUAAUUUAUAUUAAAUUUGUCUAUACAAAACAAAAAUAACACUCGACUUCCAGCGAAGGGACUCGGAUAAAUGUACAGCUACUGAAUGCCGAGACACCUACCAAAAGAUGGACACAAGUCUACAAGGACACCUCGUCUUAGUUACCGGCUGCCUCAUGAUCUGAAAACAUGAAUUUGAAAAUGGUGAGUAUAAACCCAGUGAGUGAACAAGGAAGGGAACAAGCAUACCAUAAGGAAUCUUUAAUGAAAUCAUGAUGCAUUCUUUUUCAAAACAAUAUAAUUUGUUUCUAUUCUUAUUAAAAACCCCUAAUCAAGCCCUUAAAUGAUUAAUCAUUUGAAAAUCAUUAACCCAUACAUAACAAACCAUUGGAAGAAUGAAAACUUCAAUAUUAUACAAGUAAGUCAAAUACGACAACGAAUCUUCACUGCAGCUGAAAAGCAUUAGCUGCAGCGAGAAUGAAUUUUCAUUGCAACAACGUUGGGAUUUAGUUAUUAACCGAAUGAGGGUUUCUCAACUGGCCGAGGAUUUCUCACUAAACCUAUUCAUUUUAAACUUAACUCAUUUAAUCCUUAAUGUUGGAAGUUCAUGCUCCGAUAUGGUAGCAAAGUAGUGAAAGAUAGGUCAGCAAUUGGACAAGAUAAGAGACCAAAACAGAAGGUUUUUCGCUGCAGCGAGAUUGAAUCUCACUGCAGCGAAAUUGUAACCCAGAAACAGAAUGUUUCUCGCUGCAGCGAAAUUACAACCCAGAAACAGAAAGUUUCUCGCUGCAGCGAGAAUGUAUUUCGCUGUAGCGAGAAGCUACAGUGUCAUUCUCGCUGCAGCGAAAAUGCAUCCUCGCUGCAGCGAGUUUUCAGCCAGCCUACCCUUUCAAAACCUGAGAGUUUCUAGCUAUAGCGAGAAUGAAUGAUUCUCGCUGCAGCGAAAUACAGGGCAUCAAAUGAAAAUUUCCCUUUCUCCCAAAGAAAACCACCAUGCUUGAAAUGUUCAAAACCAAUAUGAAACACAUAACAAUUUCUCAAGGUUUAACAUGUCAAGUUUCACAUGCAUUACAACCAUAAACCAUUAUCCAUCAAUUUCCUAUAACACACAUAUUUACAUAUAUAUAUAUAUAUACGCAUAUACCCAUCAUCAUCAUCACACCAUCCCAUCAUCAUCCUCACCAGCUCAUGCGCACUCCCUACUCGCACAUGGCUGGGUCAUCACCGGGUUAUGCGCACUCCCUACUCGCACAUAACCGGGUCAUCCUCGACUUAUGCGCACUCCCUACUCGCACAUAGCCGAGUCAAUAUAAUUACACAACAUUAUAUUCAAGCAUAUAUGUAUAUCAACAUAAUGCAGCCACAUAGAAAUCCAUAAUAACCACAUAUCAUAACAUAAAUAAUUUCUCAAGAACUUGUUCCCAAGGCAUUCAUUUUCAUGAAAAAUCGUAUAAAAUCAUUCAAACAUUUGUCAAAUACAUUAUAUUCUCAAAAAAAGUUUUGAAGGCAGUCCACUCACCAAAUGAUUGUAGAGCCUUUAGAUGACUCAAAUUCCCUUAAUUAUCCAAAUGAAAUGAUGGGGCUUCCUUAGAACCU